UAGCAAGUUGGUGAGGUAAAGGCUUACCAAGGCGACGAUCUGUAGCGGGUCUGAGAGGAUGAUCCGCCACACUGGAACUGAGACACGGUCCAGACUCCUACGGGAGGCAGCAGUGGGGAAUUUUGGACAAUGGGGGCAACCCUGAUCCAGCCAUGCCGCGUGAGUGAAGAAGGCCUUCGGGUUGUAAAGCUCUUUCGGCCGGGAAGAAAUCGCAUGGGCCAAUACCCUGUGUGGAUGACGGUACCGGAAUAAGAAGCACCGGCUAACUACGUGCCAGCAGCCGCGGUAAUACGUAGGGUGCGAGCGUUAGUCGGAAUUACUGGGCGUAAAGCGUGCGCAGGCGGUUUUGUAAGACAGGCGUGAAAUCCCCGGGCUUAACCUGGGAACUGCGUUUGUGACUGCAAGGCUAGAGUACGGCAGAGGGGGGUGGAAUUCCACGUGUAGCAGUGAAAUGCGUGGAGAUGUGGAGGAACACCAAUGGCGAAGGCAGCCCCCUGGGUCGAUACUGACGCUCAUGCACGAAAGCGUGGGUAGCAAACAGGAUUAGAUACCCUGGUAGUCCACGCCCUAAACUAUGUCAACUAGGUGUUGGGUGGGUAAAACCAUUUAGUACCGUAGCUAACGCGUGAAGUUGACCGCCUGGGGAGUACGGCCGCAAGGUUAAAACUCAAAGGAAUUGACGGGGACCCGCACAAGCGGUGGAUGAUGUGGAUUAAUUCGAUGCAACGCGAAAAACCUUACCUACCCUUGACAUGCCAGGAACUUGCCAGAGAUGGCUUGGUGCCCGAAAGGGAGCCUGGACACAGGUGCUGCAUGGCUGUCGUCAGCUCGUGUCGUGAGAUGUUGGGUUAAGUCCCGCAACGAGCGCAACCCUUGUCGUUAAUUGCCAUCAUUUAGUUGGGCACUUUAACGAGACUGCCGGUGACAAACCGGAGGAAGGUGGGGAUGACGUCAAGUCCUCAUGGCCCUUAAGGGUAGGGCUUCACACGUCAUACAAUGGUCGGUACAAAGGGUUGCCAAGCCGCGAGGCGGAGCCAAUCCCAGAAAGCCGAUCGUAGUCCGGAUUGCAGGCUGCAACUCGCCUGCAUGAAGUCGGAAUCGCUAGUAAUCGUGGAUCAGCAUGUCACGGUGAAUACGUUCCCGGGUCUUGUACACACCGCCCGUCACACCAUGGGAGCGGGUUCCGCCAGAAGUAGGUAGCCUAACCGCAAGGGGGGCGCUUACCACGGCGGGGUUCGUGACUGGGGUGAAGUCGUAACAAGGUAGCCGUAGGGGAACCUGCGGCUG
rnacentral:rRNA from 1 species